AAGCUUUUUGCUGAAACACCGGGGAUGAACAACUUUUGUCACGUGACCGCAAAAGUCAACGCCGGUUGCAGAAACAGAUUGUAAUCUUGUACAUUAAGAAACAUGACGCUCGUGUGUGAAAUCUGUGGAAAGACAUUUAAAUCGAAGUGGGGGUUAAAGCUUCAUGAUAAGCGCCACAGAGGGACUGGACGAUUCGCCUGUUGUGGAAAAACAUUUUACACAAAACAGGCGUUCAACAGACACAGAUGCAGCAUUCAUGGUGUUGAAAAGCCGUUCCCCUGUGAACAAUGCGGCAAAAAGUUUUCAACCAAAGAUGACCUGAAUCGUCACGUCCGGAGGGAGGUUGCUGCAAAGCAAUUUACCUGCUCAAUUUGCAAUGCAACGCUCCGGGAGAAAAUUGACCUUCAGGCCCACCUUGCCACCCACAAUGGAGAGAAAAACUUUGCUUGUGAUAUGUGUGAAAAGAGGUACAGGCACCGCAGUAGUCUAUCAAAGCACAGAUCUGCAAAGCACCGGGCCUAGUCAUCUGUUGCAUGACGAUGAUAAGACCAAGAAUUAUUUUUAAUUCUUACCAAUGUGCCGUGGUUAUUUUCUUAAUUAUUGAAAAUACAGACUGUCAUACAAUAAUAUAUAGUAUUACGCGUGUUUUUGCGUCUUAAACAUUGUGUUUCAUAUCGUUUAUCUUGUGUUGUUUUGUUUGAUAUUCCUGUUUUUAAUAAGAUUAUUGUUGUAAUAUUUAUCAUUCUAAUUUAAAAUGAUUAUGAUAAUGGUUGAUCUCAUACAAAUUAUUGUGUUCAUUAUUGCUCAUCUGUGAUUACUGUUGAUCUCAGCCCAUGAAUUGUGAUUUAUAUUGAUUAUCUGUGAUUAUUGUUGAUCUUAUCAAAAUAAUUGUAAUUUAUGUUGAUUAUCUGUGAAUUUUUUAUCUUAACCUAUUAAUAGUGAUUUAUAUUAUCUGUGAUUAUUGUUGAUCUUAUCAAAAUCAUUGUGAUUUAUGUUGAUUAUCUGUGAUUAGUGUUGAUCUCAACCGAUUAAUUGUGAUUUAUAUAACCAGUGAUUAUUGUUGAUCUUUUCAAAAUCAUUGUAAUUUAUGUUGAUUAUCUGUGAUUAUUGUUGAUCUUUUCGAAAUCAUUGUAAUUUAUGUUGAUUAUCUGUGAUUAUUGUUGAUCUUUUCAAAAUCAUUGUAAUUAAUGUUGAUUAUCUGUGAUUAUUGUUGAUCUUUUCAAAAUCAUUGUAAUUUAUGUUGAUUAUCUGUGAUUAUUGUUGAUCUCACCAUAUCCGCUGGAAUAUACAUUUGAGCCGCGCUCUGUGAAAAGGGGGUUUAAUGCAUGUGCGUAAAGUGCAGUCCACAUAGGCUAAUCAGGGACGGCACUUUCCGCUUUUAUGAUAUGUUUUGUUAAAAGAAAGUCUCUUCUGAGCAAAAAUCGAGUUUAUCGGAAAGGUUUGUCCCUAAUUAGCCUGUACGGAAUGCACAGGCUAAUAUGUGACGACACCUUACGCACAUGCAUUAAACCCCCUUUUCACAGAGCGAGACUCAUUUGUAAUCUGCGAUUUUUGUUUAUCUAUUUCGAAUCAAUAUGAUUAAAAUAUAUUUUUGGUGAGUUAGCUUUUUGUCUCAUUGGAAUCAUUGUGCGAAUUGUCAACAAUUACAUGUAAAUCUGUAAUUCCUUCUCAAGUUGCACAUAGGCCAGUUUAAUGUUUUGCGUAUAAGCUAUUAUUGCGAUACGGGAUAUUCUUUGCAGCAAUAAAACAAUUAAUCUGCA